GACUUCACAGUGGACUGAUCCAUCUGCCCUCCGGUUUCCCAGAAGAUUAGGAUCAGGCUGCAGCUGAAAUUGUGCUUCAGGGGCAUCAACCUUGAACCACAAAGGAGAACUUCUGCUUUUUAACUCUUUAACUCUCCACGGAAGUCGCCAGAUCCAGUCUCACAGAAGCUGGGCAGGUCCUAGCCCGGGCAAAUCUAAAGGUUCCACCUCACUCUACCUGCCCAGGCAUUGGCUGUUGACUCUUUCUUGAUCAAUCAACAACCAGUUGGGGACAAGGACUUUCAGCAAUUGGACACACAGACUCCCAAUUUUGGGGCCAGAUUAAUUCAAAGCAUUAGAUUCCAUCUCUAACACCCUACUGCCCUCAGCUCAUUAUCCCAACACCCACCCAGUCAAGAAAGCCAGAAAUAUGAAGUGUUUGGUUUACUUCUCACAAGCUGCAACUAGAAGGUCUCUUGCAGAAUGAUCUUACAGGCUAUUAGCAUCACAUCUGGGUUAGGCAUUCAUGACUCUGCUUCACAUUUACAACUUCAAAAUAAUUUAUAAUUGUAAGUUCCCAAUUUAUAAACUAAAAUAGCUCCUUAUUAUUUUUUAAGGAGAAGCUUAUGAAUUGACUGAGAAUUCUAAUAUUUCUAUGGUAUUCCCCCCUAACUUUGAUUGCAUUACUAUUAAGUAUUUUUUCAUUGUUGUUGUAUUGUCCUUACUCAUCAAACUUUUCAUUAAUUAUUUAUCUUAUAAAGAUAGAAGAAUGAAUACCCUCUCAUCUUUCCUCUCCAUACAUGUUUAGAUUUUUUCGUUGUGCCACUAUUUACUUUUAGUAAAUUUAUAUUAUUUAACAUCUAUCCUAGUACAGUUGACUACAAAUUAAAAUUCUAGACUUUAUGUAAAAAGAAAUAUGCAAGCAGAACUUUCAGUGUUAUACUUGUCACAGAACUCCGGACAGUGAUGUCCUCCUAGUUUUUUUAUUGGUCAAUAUUUCAUAAAUAAAGGCCAUGUGGAUUUCAUGGA